rnacentral:rRNA from 1 species
ACGGAAGGCAGCAGUGAGGAAUAUUGGUCAAUGGACGGAAGUCUGAACCAGCCAUGCCGCGUGAAGGAAUAAGGCCCUAUGGGUCGUAAACUUCUUUUGUGGUGGAGCAAUAAGGUGCACGUGUGCAUCGAUGAGAGUACAUCACGAAUAAGCAUCGGCUAACUCCGUGCCAGCAGCCGCGGUAAUACGGAGGAUGCAAGCGUUAUCCGGAUUUAUUGGGUUUAAAGGGUGCGUAGGCUGUUCUUCAAGUCAGAGGUGAAAUCCCCGAGCCUAACUCGGGAACUGCCUUUGAUACUGGAGGGCUUGAAUACUGUUGCCGUGGGAGGAAUGAGUAGUGUAGCGGUGAAAUGCAUAGAUAUUACUCAGAACACCGAUUGCGAAGGCAUCUCACGAAGCAGCGAUUGACGCUGAGGCACGAAAGCGUGGGGAUCAAACAGGAUUAGAUACCCUGGUA